rnacentral:rRNA from 1 species
CGUGCUUAACACAUGCAAGUCGAACGAAGCACCUUAUUCUGAUUUCUUCGGAAUGAAAAAUUUGGUGACUGAGUGGCGGACGGGUGAGUAACGCGUGGGUAACCUGCCUCAUACAGGGGGAUAACAGUUAGAAAUGACUGCUAAUACCGCAUAAGACCACAGCACCGCAUGGUGCAGGGGUAAAAACUCCGGUGGUAUGAGAUGGACCCGCGUCUGAUUAGGUAGUUGGUGGGGUAACGGCCUACCAAGCCGACGAUCAGUAGCCGACCUGAGAGGGUGACCGGCCACAUUGGGACUGAGACACGGCCCAAACUCCUACGGGAGGCAGCAGUGGGGAAUAUUGCACAAUGGGGGAAACCCUGAUGCAGCGACGCCGCGUGAGCGAUGAAGUAUUUCGGUAUGUAAAGCUCUAUCAGCAGGGAAGAAAAUGACGGUACCUGACUAACAAGCACCGGCUAAAUACGUGCCAGCAGCCGCGGUAAUACAUAUGGUGCAAGCGUUAUCCGGAUUUACUGGGUGUAAAGGGAGCGUAGACGGAGUGGCAAGUCUGAUGUGAAAACCCGGGGCUCAACCCCGGGACUGCAUUGAAAACUGUCAAUCUAGAAUACCGGAGAGGUAAGCGGAAUUCCUAGUGUAGCGGUGAAAUGCGUAGAUAUUACGAGGAACACCAGUGGCGAAGGCGGCUUACUGGACGGUAACUGACGUUGAGGCUCGAAAGCGUGAGGAGCAAACAGGAUUAGAUACCCUGGUAUU